AUGGAAAAUGACUUGAAAAAAAAACGUCAGCGUGUAUCAGGAAACACCUCACGAAGGGGCAAAAGUGGUUUCAAUUCUAAGAGUGGACAGCGGGGAUCUUCCAAGUCUGGAAAGUUGAAAGGAGAUGACCUUCAGGCCAUUAAGAAGGAACUGACCCAGAUAAAACAAAAAGUGGAUUCUCUCCUGGAAAACCUGGAAAAAAUUGAAAAGGAACAGAGCAAACAAGCAGUAGAGAUGAAGAAUGAUAAGUCAGAAGAGGAGCAGAGCAGCAGCUCCGUGAAGAAAGAUGAGACUAAUGUGAAGAUGGAGUCUGAGGGGGGUGCAGAUGACUCUGCUGAGGAGGGGACCUACUGGAUGAUGAUGAUAAUGAAGAUGGCGGGGUGGGGAUGACCAGCUGGAGUUGAUCAAGGAUGAUGAAAAAGAGGCUGAGGAAGGAGAAGAUGACUCUUAAGCACAUAGUGGGGUUUAGAAAUCUUAUCCCAUUAUUUCUUUACCUAGGCGCUUGUCUAAGAUCAAAUUUUUCACCAGACCCUCUCCCCUAGUAUCUUCAGCACAUGCUCACUGUUCUCCCCAUCCUUGUCCUUCCCAUGUUCAUUAAUUCAUAUUUCCCUGCGCCUAGUCCCAUUUUCACUUCCUUUGACGCUCCUAGUUUUUGUUAAGUCUUACCCUGUAAUUUUUGCUUUUAAUUUGAUACCUCUUUAUGACUUAACAAUAAAAAGGAUGUAUGGUUUUUAUCAACUGUCUCCAAAAUAAUCUCUUGUUAUGAAGGGAGUACAGUUCUUUUCAUUCAUACAUAUGUUCAGUAGUUGCUUCCCUAACUGCAAACGCAAUCUCAUUUAGUUGAGUAGCUCCUGAAAGCAGCUUUGAGUUAGAAGUAUGUGUGUUACACCCCAACAUUAGUGUGCUGUGUGGGGCAGUUCAA